GAAAAGACCUGUCAAAGGACCCCUAAACUCUGUUUUUACAACUGUAUCUCUGAGUCUAUUAUACAAAUAAGUUAAAACUUUCAACAACGGAUCUCUUGGCUCUGGCAUCGAUGAAGAACGCAGCGAAAUGCGAUAAGUAAUGUGAAUUGCAGAAUUCAGUGAAUCAUCGAAUCUUUGAACGCACAUUGCGCCUGAUAGUAUUCUGUCAGGCAUGCCUGUUCGAGCGUCAUUUCAACCCCCAAGCCCUAUUUGCUUGACGUUGGGAGUUUACGGAGACGUAAUUCCUCAAAUAUAGUGGCGGAGCUAGGUCGUGCUCUAAGCGUAGUAACCACAAUUCUCGCUUCUGCAGCCGGCUUAGGUCCUGCCGUAAAACCCCUAUAUUUUUUUAUUGGUUGACCUCGGAUCAGGUAGGAAUACCCGCUGAACUUAAGCAUAUCAAUAAGCGGAGGAAAAGAAACCAACAGGGAUUGCCCUAGUAACGGCGAGUGAAGCGGCAACAGCUCAAAUUUGAAAUCUGGCCUUCGGGUCCGAGUUGUAAUUUGCAGAGGAUGCUUUUGGCGCGGUGCCUUCCGAGUUCCCUGGAACGGGACGCCUUAGAGGGUGAGAGCCCCGUACGGUUGGACACCAAGCCUCUGUAAAGCUCCUUCGACGAGUCGAGUAGUUUGGGAAUGCUGCUCUAAAUGGGAGGUAAAUUUCUUCUAAAGCUAAAUACCGGCCAGAGACCGAUAGCGCACAAGUAGAGUGAUCGAAAGAUGAAAAGCACUUUGAAAAGAGGGUUAAAUAGCACGUGAAAUUGUUGAAAGGGAAGCGUUUACGGCCAGACCUUUUCCUGGCGGAUCAUCUGGUGUUCUCACCAGUGCACUCCGCCAGGUUUAGGCCAGCAUCGGCUCCCGUAGGGGGAUAAAAGCAGUGGGAAAGUAG
rnacentral:rRNA from 1 species